rfam:Fukomys damarensis contig122641, whole genome shotgun sequence.
AUCGCUUCUCGGCCUUUUGGCUAAGAUCAAGUGUACAUUCAGCAUUCUUCCCACGGAAACACAUGAGUCUGUGCACAAAGUUGUAUAUACAAUGGUACUGGCUUUGAAUUUUUUGCCAUAGUGAAAAUUCAAAACCUUAUUGUCCCUGAUUUGUAUCUGUUAAUUAAUUAACAAUAGCCCAU